rnacentral:tRNA from 1 species
GCGCUCAGGGGUACAGCAUCUGCUUGGAAUUUAGAAGCAUCCGGGUUCGAUCCCCGCCAUCUCCA